rnacentral:rRNA from 1 species
AGUGAACGCUGGCGGUAGGCCUAACACAUGCAAGUCGAACGGCAGCACAGUAAGAGCUUGCUCUUACGGGUGGCGAGUGGCGGACGGGUGAGGAAUACAUCGGAAUCUACUUUUUCGUGGGGGAUAACGUAGGGAAACUUACGCUAAUACCGCAUACGACCUACGGGUGAAAGCAGGGGAUCUUCGGACCUUGCGCGAUUGAAUGAGCCGAUGUCGGAUUAGCUAGUUGGCGGGGUAAAGGCCCACCAAGGCGACGAUCCGUAGCUGGUCUGAGAGGAUGAUCAGCCACACUGGAACUGAGACACGGUCCAGACUCCUACGGGAGGCAGCAGUGGGGAAUAUUGGACAAUGGGCGCAAGCCUGAUCCAGCCAUACCGCGUGGGUGAAGAAGGCCUUCGGGUUGUAAAGCCCUUUUGUUGGGAAAGAGAAGCAGCAGGUUAAUACCCCGCUGUUCCGACGGUACCCAAAGAAUAAGCACCGGCUAACUUCGUG